UGGUAUUUAAAAGGUGGAUAUUCCUUCUAUGUUUACGUGAUUCAUAGAUAAUCAUAGAGGAAAAUCCAUGUUUUCAGUAUCA
ensembl:miRNA